rnacentral:rRNA from 1 species
UGGGGAAUUUUGGACAAUGGGGGCAACCCUGAUCCAGCAAUGCCGCGUGUGUGAAGAAGGCCUUCGGGUUGUAAAGCACUUUUGUCCGGAAAGAAAACGCCGUGGUUAAUACCCGUGGCGGAUGACGGUACCGGAAGAAUAAGCACCGGCUAACUACGUGCCAGCAGCCGCGGUAAUACGUAGGGUGCAAGCGUUAAUCGGAAUUACUGGGCGUAAAGCGUGCGCAGGCGGUCCGCUAAGACAGAUGUGAAAUCCCCGGGCUUAACCUGGGAACUGCAUUUGUGACUGGCGGGCUAGAGUAUGGCAGAGGGGGGUAGAAUUCCACGUGUAGCAGUGAAAUGCGUAGAGAUGUGGAGGAAUACCGAUGGCGAAGGCAGCCCCCUGGGCCAAUACUGACGCUCAUGCACGAAAGCGUGGGGGAGCAAACAGGAUUAGAUACCCUGGUAGUCCACGCCCUAAACGAUGUCAACUAGUUGUCGGGUCUUCAUUGACUUGGUAACGUAGCUAA